UACGUAGGGCGCAAGCGUUGUCCGGAAUUAUUGGGCGUAAAGAGCUCGUAGGCGGCUUGUCACGUCGGGUGUGAAAGCCCGGGGCUUAACCCCGGGUCUGCAUUCGAUACGGGCUAGCUAGAGUGUGGUAGGGGAGAUCGGAAUUCCUGGUGUAGCGGUGAAAUGCGCAGAUAUCGGAAGGAACAUCAGUGGCGAAAGCGACUUCCUGGACCAGUACCGACGUUCAGGCACGAAAGCGUGGGGAGCAAACAGG
rnacentral:rRNA from 1 species